UAGUAACUGCGAGUGAAGAGGGAAAAGCUCAAAUUUAAAAUCUGGCGGGCUCUGUCCGUCCGAGUUGUAAUCUGGAGAAGCGUUUUCCGCGUCGGACCGUGCAUAAGUCUCCUGGAACGGAGCGUCAUAGAGGGUGAGAAUCCCGUCCAUGGCACGGACCGCCGAUGCUUUGUGAUACGUUUUCAAAGAGUCGAGUUGUUUGGGAAUGCAGCUCAAAAYGGGUGGUAAAUUCCAUCUAAAGCUAAAUAUUGGCGAGAGACCGAUAGCGAACAAGUACCGUGAGGGAAAGAUGAAAAGCACUUUGGAAAGAGAGUUAAACAGUACGUGAAAUUGUUGAAAGGGAAACGCUUGAAGUCAGUCGCGUCCGACGGAACUCAGCCUUGCUUCGGCCUGGUGUACUUUCUGUCGGACGGGUCAACAUCAGUUUUGACCGGUGGAGAAAGGUAGGGGGAAUGUAGCGCUGUUUCGGCGGCGUGUUAUAGCCCCUUGCUGCAUGCAUCGGUUGGGACUGAGGACCGCAGCACGCCUUUUUGGCCGGGGGUUCGCCCCACGUACCGUGCUUAGGAUGUUGGCAUAAUGGCUUUAAGCGACCCGUCUUGAAACACGGACCAAGGAGUCCAACAUGCUUGCGAGUGUUCGGGUGGAAAACCCUUGCGCGUAAUGAAAGUAACAGUUGGGAACCUCCGCAAGGGGGUGCACCGACGCCCGGCCCUGAAGUUCUCUGACGGUGCUGCGGUAGAGCAAGUAUGCUGGGACCCGAAAGAUGGUGAACUAUGCCUGAAUAGGGCGAAGCCAGAGGAAACUCUGGUGGAGGCUCGUAGCGAUUCUGACGUGCAAAUCGAUCGUC
rnacentral:rRNA from 1 species